rnacentral:rRNA from 1 species
GAUGAACGCUGGCGGCGUGCCUAAUACAUGCAAGUCGAGCGAACAGACGAGGAGCUUGCUCCUCUGACGUUAGCGGCGGACGGGUGAGUAACACGUGGAUAACCUACCUAUAAGACUGGGAUAACUUCGGGAAACCGGAGCUAAUACCGGAUAAUAUAUUGAACCGCAUGGUUCAAUAGUGAAAGACGGUUUUGCUGUCACUUAUAGAUGGAUCCGCGCCGCAUUAGCUAGUUGGUAAGGUAACGGCUUACCAAGGCAACGAUUCCUAGCCGACCUGAGAGGGUGAUCGGCCCAACUGGAACUGAGACACGGUCCAGACUCCCACGGGAGGCAGCAGUAGGGAAUCUUCCGCAAUGGGCGAAAGCCUGACGGAGCAACGCCGCGUGAGUGAUGAAGGUCUUCGGAUCGUAAAACUCUGUUAUUAGGGAAGAACAAAUGUGUAAGUAACUAUGCACGUCUUGACGGUACCUAAUCCGAAAGCCACGGCUAACUUCGUG